ensembl:lncRNA
CAGUGGUGGGACAAGAGAGGAUGGGAGAAGCGGUCCCAGGAAGGGAAGGAAGGCGACCCCCGCUCCCCGAGGGUGCAGCCUUGCCAAGGCCAGGCUGCUUCCCAGUCCACCUUGGAGCAACUCACCCUCUACCAGAGCCUGCUGAAGCGGUUCUAUUUAUACCACUGAUACAUGGGGAUACGCCUUUCAGAUUUUCUAGAAGGAUUUGGAUCUACUUAUGCAAGCUUUUCUGAGCCCGGAGUCUAUCGGUUUCAAAGACACGUGAAAAGCUAUGAAGAAAACCCAAGGGAAGGAAACCUCGGGAGCUGGGGCCCGAAAACACAGGGCCGGACAUCUGCUCUCCGCCCACGGUUGGGGCUGUUUAUUUUUUUUUUUUUUUUUUUUUUUUCAACGUUUAUUUAUUUUUGGGACAGAGAGAGACAGAGCAUGAACGGGGGAGGGGCAGAGAGAGAGGGAGACACAGAAUUGGAAACAGGCUCCAGGCUCCAAGCCAUCAGCCCAGAGCCUGACGCGGGGCUCGAACUCCCGGACCGCGAGAUCGUGACCUGGCUGAAGUCGGACGCUUAA